AGCCCCGCACCGCAGGGCGUCUGCCCUUGUGCGGCGGCGGCGGCGGCGGCGGCUGCAGCGGCCGCUGGCUGGCCCGCUGUAUGGUUGGUUGGCUGGCUGGCUGGCUGGCUGGCUGGCUCGCUGGCUGGCUGCCCGGCUGACUCCUCACCGGGGCUUCCUGUAGGGCUGGACAAAGGACAUUUCCUGGGAGGAGCGGGAGAAUGCUCCCAGCAUGCCUCGAUUUGUAGUUCCCGGGGACUUCCUGCCACCGCAGCAGCGGGCGCCCUGGAGGUAGCUCCGGCCAGGCUAGGACUCCGGGACAGGAUGAAAGGCGCUCUCUGCUUCCCUAAGCGCCGUGGGGAAGGGAGCGGCCGGCAGGUCCUGCCCACGCCCCGCCCGCGGCGCUCAUGGAGCCCGCUGCCCCGGAGGGCGCGAGAUCCCAGCCCGCACUCCGAGCUCGCGGCACCGGUUACGGGCGGCCGGAGGACGCUGCCACUGAGCUGUCCCAUGCCGUUGACAUCCUGCUGGGGGCCGAUUAAAGAACUUGAUUGCUCACCAGGAAUUCAGGUUCCUUAAGAUCUUGGCGCUUCAUCUUUAAAACCAUACAGAGCUGAUUGUUUCCAGAUCCCGACCCGGUGACAUUCCUCCCUCCAUUGUUGGCCUUGUCCCAAACAUCUUUUCAAGAAAAGCAAUUAAAUUGAGAUUGAAAAUAAAUUACGUAAAUUAAAUAUUAGACAUGUGCUGCUGAAUUAGGAAAGUGCUGGACUUUCUGCAUAUCUUUCCUUCAUUAACCUUUAGGAUUCAGCUUAGUUGGUCCUACAAAACAGAUGUGAUAGCCACUGUAUAUUGCGUGUGUGUAUUUCGGGAAGUGGAAGGGUGAGGAGAAGAGGACAUUGGCUACAACAGGGGUACUCCACUUCCAGCCUAGCAAGAGUCUAUGAUGCCCUGAACACGUUUUUGUCUAUUUCUGGGACCACAGACUCAAGACCUUUAGAAAAUCAAGGAAGGACCACAUAGAGACUAAAUGAGUAAAAGCUGUAUUCUCUCCAGGAGCAUGAGCAGAAUGUAAUAAACUGAACUAGGAAAGGACAAGUUCUAGGAUGCUCUAGAAUGUGUUUGAAAAGUAAUCAGAUAGAAAAGUCUAUGGGAGGCCGGGCGCGGUGGCUCACGCCUGUAAUCCCAGCACUUUGGGAGGCCAAGGCGGGCGGAUCACGAGGUCAGGAGAUCGAGACCAUCCUGGCUACGGUGAAACCCCGUCUCUACUUAAAAAAAAAAAAAAAAUCACCAAAAAUUAGCCUGGCGUGGUGGUGGGCACCUGUAGUUCCAGCUACUCAGGAGGCUGAGGCAGGAGAAUGGCAUGAACCCGGGAGGCAGAGCUUGCAGUGAGCUGAGAUCAUGCCACUGCACUCCAGUCUGGGCAACAGAGUGAGACUCCGUCUCAAAAAAAAAGAAAAGAAAAGAAAAGAAAAGUCUGGGCUUGGUGGCUCAUGCCUGUAAUCACAGCACUUUUGGAGGCCGAGGUGGGAGGGUCACUUGAGCCCAGGAGUUCAAGACCAGCCUGGGCAACAUAGUGAGACCCUGUUUCUACCAAAAAUAAAAUAAAAUAAUAAAAUAGAAAUGAAAUGUGGGUGUGGUGGCGCGUACCUGUAGUCCCAGCUACUCGGUCGUUUAAGUGAAAGGGUCGUUUGAGACUAGAAGUUUGAGCCUGCAGUGAGCCAUGAUUGCACUCCAGCCUGGGUGACAGAUUGAGACUCUGUUUCAAAAAAUAAAGUCAUAAUUACCUGUCACCUCCACUUGUCAUUUCACAUUUUAAAUCCAUAUGAUUAAAACAUUUGGGCGAAGGGUUUAGCUUACAUGUAAGUAAAG
rnacentral:lncRNA from 1 species